rnacentral:rRNA from 1 species
UACGAAGGGGGCUAGCGUUGCUCGGAAUGACUGGGCGUAAAGGGCGCGUAGGCGGCUCAUACAGUCAGAUGUGAAAUUCCUGGGCUUAACCUGGGGGCUGCAUUUGAUACGUGUGGGCUUGAGUGGGGAAGAGGGUCGUGGAAUUCCCAGUGUAGAGGUGAAAUUCGUAGAUAUUGGGAAGAACACCGGUGGCGAAGGCGGCCAUCUGGACGGAUACUGACGCUGAGACGCGAAAGCGUGGGGAGCAAACAGG